CCUUGAUUAAAUCAAGUCAAUGAGCAAGCCACAGGUGACUCAGAAGGUGUCUGUAUGGAAAUAGAUGCUGUUGCUGGGAGGAAGUGUUUCUGAAGGAUGGGAAUGGGAACUUCAUGUAUCUUAGAACAGAGCAUGAGCUUUCAAGUCCUAUCAGUCAUAGAUUCUGCAAUGUAACUGCCAUAAAUGCAUUGAAGGGCAUAGGAGGAAAUGUGUUUAGAAGGGACCUGGGAGAUCUUCCUUUCGAGAGCGUUUCUCCUGGAACUGAGGCACACCAUCCCAGGAGAGUGCUGGCAGCUGCAGGAGAAAAGAAGAGGGUUUACAGUGCUCCACCAGGGAAAAGGGCUUUUGUCUUUGUUGAUGACCUAAACAUGCCUGCCAAGGAGAAAUAUGGUGCCCAGCCUCCCAUUGAACUGCUGCAGCAAUGGAUUGACCAUGGCUACUGGUUUGACAGGUGCAAUAAAUAUUAAUUAGUGUGCUUGGCUACAGAGGAGUAAUGAUAUACACUGUUUCUCUGAAGCGUUAAAUUGUAGUGUUAGUCUUUUAUAAUUCCUCAUCUUCUCAGUCACAACAGGAAAACACUCUGAGUUACAUGACUCCCUGUACAGGAAAAGGAAUAAAGGCUUAUAUGUUGCAGUGAAUUACAGCAUGAGAAAGCCAAGCCUAUAAGGGAGAAAGGCACAACAUGCAUUUUCAUGUUUUUGAGAAAACACCAUCAGUAUUUAAGCCAGCACAAAACACUUCCAAAUAAAUUUUUAGUUCCUGGUUGUUAAGGACUGAAACAAAAUAAUUUGUCUUUCAGCAAAUGACUUUGCGGUUGGAAUGCAGCUGAAGAUGCUUUUCUAAAGCACAGCCAGCAUUUAGAAGAAGAGUGUGUAAUAGACUCAGGCACUUUUCUGCAUGAUUUGUGAUAAUACUGUUUAUUAGAAAGACUUCAAAUUCUGCCUUGUUUAUGUCUCAUAUAUAUGAACAUUAAAUAACUAUCUAUUGUUUAAGAGUGAGCCUACUUAAUCUGCAGCUUAAA